rnacentral:rRNA from 1 species
GAUGAACGCUGGCGGCGUGCCUAAUACAUGCAAGUCGAGCGAAUGGAUUAAGAGCUUGCUCUUAUGAAGUUAGCGGCGGACGGGUGAGUAACACGUGGGUAACCUGCCCAUAAGACUGGGAUAACUCCGGGAAACCGGGGCUAAUACCGGAUAACAUUUUGAACUGCAUGGUUCGAAAUUGAAAGGCGGCUUCGGCUGUCACUUAUGGAUGGACCCGCGUCGCAUUAGCUAGUUGGUGAGGUAACGGCUCACCAAGGCAACGAUGCGUAGCCGACCUGAGAGGGUGAUCGGCCACACUGGGACUGAGACACGGCCCAGACUCCUACGGGAGGCAGCAGUAGGGAAUCUUCCGCAAUGGACGAAAGUCUGACGGAGCAACGCCGCGUGAGUGAUGAAGGCUUUCGGGUCGUAAAACUCUGUUGUUAGGGAAGAACAAGUGCUAGUUGAAUAAGCUGGCACCUUGACGGUACCUAACCAGAAAGCCACGGCUAACUACGUGCCAGCAGCCGCGGUAAUACGUAGGUGGCAAGCGUUAUCCGGAAUUAUUGGGCGUAAAGCGCGCGCAGGUGGUUUCUUAAGUCUGAUGUGAAAGCCCACGGCUCAACCGUGGAGGGUCAUUGGAAACUGGGAGACUUGAGUGCAGAAGAGGAAAGUGGAAUUCCAUGUGUAGCGGUGAAAUGCGUAGAGAUAUGGAGGAACACCAGUGGCGAAGGCGACUUUCUGGUCUGUAACUGAC